rnacentral:rRNA from 1 species
UAGAUCUCGGUCGCUGGAAUGCCCCGAGAUCGAAAGCUCCGGCGCCAGAGGAUGGGUCUGCGGCCUAUCAGGUAGUAGUGGGUGUAGCGUACCUACUAGCCUACGACGGGUACGGGUUGUGAGAGCAAGAGCCCGGAAAUGGAUUCUGAGACACGAAUCCAGGCCCUACGGGGUGCAGCAGGCGCGAAAACUUUACAAUGCCGGCAACGGCGAUAAGGGGACCUCGAGUGCCAGGUUACAAAUCUGGCUGUUGUGAUGCCUAAAAAGCAUUGCAUAGCAUGGGCCGGGCAAGACCGGUGCCAGCCGCCGCGGUAACACCGGCGGCUCGAGUGGUAACCGUUAUUAUUGAGUCUAAAGGGUCUGUAGCCGGCCGGAUAAGUCUCUUGAGAAAUCCAGCAGCUCAUCUGUUGGGCUUUCAUGAGAUACUGUUUGGCUCGAGGCCGGCAGAGGUGAGAGGUACUUCAUGGGUAGGGGUGAAAUCUUGUAAUCCUUGA